rnacentral:rRNA from 1 species
GACGAACGCUGGCGGCGUGCUUAACUCAUGCAAGUCGAACGAGACGAUUGAAAGCUUGCUUUUAAAAGUCGAGUGGCAAACGGGUGAGUAACGCGUAGACAACCUGCCUUUGAGAUGGGGACAACAGUUCGAAAGGACUGCUAAUACCGAAUGUUGUAUAUUUUCCACAUGGAAGAUAUAUUAAAGAUGGCCUCUAUUUAUAAGCUAUCGCCCAAAGAUGGGUCUGCGUCUGAUUAGCUAGUUGGUGGGGUAACGGCCUACCAAGGCGACGAUCAGUAGCCGGUCUGAGAGGAUGAACGGCCACAUUGGGACUGAGACACGGCCCAGACUCCUACGGGAGGCAGCAGUGGGGAAUCUUCCACAAUGGACGAAAGUCUGAUGGAGCAACGCCGCGUGAGUGAAGAAGGGUUUCGGCUCGUAAAGCUCUGUUGUCGGGGACGAAUGUGCAGUAUUUGAAUAAAGUACUGCAAUGACGGUACCUGACGAGGAAGCCACGGCUAACUACGUGCCAGCCGCCGCCGUAA